GGUGACUGCGUACCUUUUGUAUAAUGGGUCAGCGACUUAUAUUCUGUAGCAAGGUUAACCGUAUAGGGGAGCCGAAGGGAAACCGAGUCUUAACUGGGCGUUAAGUUGCAGGGUAUAGACCCGAAACCCGGUGAUCUAGCCAUGGGCAGGUUGAAGGUUGGGUAACACUAACUGGAGGACCGAACCGACUAAUGUUGAAAAAUUAGCGGAUGACUUGUGGCUGGGGGUGAAAGGCCAAUCAAACCGGGAGAUAGCUGGUUCUCCCCGAAAGCUAUUUAGGUAGCGCCUCGUGAA
rnacentral:rRNA from 1 species